UACAGAGGGGGCAAGCGUUGUUCGGAAUUACUGGGCGUAAAGGGCGCGUAGGCGGCCUGUUAAGUCGAACGUGAAAUCCCCGGGCUCAACCCGGGAACUGCGUCCGAUACUGGCAGGCUUGAAUCCGGGAGAGGGAUGUGGAAUUCCAGGUGUAGCGGUGAAAUGCGCAGAUAUCGGGAGGAACACCAAUGGCGAAGGCAGCUCGCUGGGACGUUACUGACGCUGAGACGCGAAAGCGUGGGGAGCAAACAGG
rnacentral:rRNA from 1 species